UUAGUAAUUGCGAAUGAACAAGGAUAUCGCUUAGCUUGACAAAUGGAGCUAUUGGCUUUGAAUUGUAUUGUGGAAAUGUAUUACCAACAGAGGUGCAGGUGCCAGCCUAUUGAAAUAAAGCGUCAAUGAGGGUGAGAAUCCUGUUUGUCAUGUGCAGCCCUUUGUGCACGGUGUAUAUUUGCUGAGUCACACUCCUUGGCAUUGGAAUGCAAAGUGGGUGGUAAGUUUCAUGUAAAGGUAAACAUGCAAUUGAGACUGAUAGCACACAAGUACCAUGAGGGAAAUAUGAAAAGGACUUUGAAAAGAGAAUUAAAUGAGUUUGUAUUUGCUGAACACAAAGUAAACAGACUUGAUUUGCUUGGUGGGAGUGUUGCACUUGCUUGACAAGAGCUUUGGGCUGUGGGUGUAAUGAUUCUUUCUUUGCAUGCCAGUUUCUAUUUGUACAUCUGAUUACCUUUGCACAUGAAUGAUAAGUCUCCUGUGGGGGGUGGAUUGCAUGUGCAUGUAAUGAUUUGUGUUUUGAUAAAUGUGUCUGGUGUAUGUGUGUGUUCCUGUGCUUGGGGAUGCUUCCUUCCUUGGACUUACAAGCCCUGACACACACAUGCUGGCAAAAUGCUUCUGCUUGACCCGUCUUGAAACACGGACCAAGGAGUCUAACAGAUGUGCAAAGUUUGAAGGUGGUAUACCUUUGUGUGCAAUGAAAGUGUCAGCUGGGAUAUGUGCACCAGCACCCAAUUAAUUAGCGGACAGAGGUUUGAGUUGGAGCAUAUCUAUUAGGACCCGAAAGAUGGUGAACUAUGCCUGAACAGAAUGAAUUCAGAGGAAACUCUGAUGGAGGUUCGUAUCGAUACUGACGUGCAAAUCGUUCGUCAUAUUUGGGUAUAGGGGCGAAAGACUAAUCGAACCAUCUAGUAGCUGGUUCCCUCCGAAGUUUCCCUCAGGAUAGCUGGAGUUGCUCAGUUUUAUCAGGUAAAGCGAAUGAUUAGAGGAAUUGGGGACAGGUUUGUCUUUGACCUAUUCUCAAACUUUAAAUGGGUAAUAUGUAGU
rnacentral:rRNA from 1 species